CGACGAGAGACCUUACAAACUUUGUUCGGUGUAGGCAGACGCAUUACACAGUUGGUGCUAGUAACUCAGAUAAAAUCGGCGUCUGCGUAAGGAACAGGAUAAUAUACAAUUUCUUCGGUCCAUCGAGAUCGAUAGAUGGUCUGGCGCUGAAAAAACGGUGUGCACAAGUGAAGAGCAGCUGAACAAAAAAAAAAAUCGAAAGAAAGUUCACCAAAAUGUCGUCAAUAUUCUGUCGGUUGAUCGCACUCAUUUUAACGGUUUUCCUGCUUUCGAGUGAGACGAACGCGGGGGACAUGAUGCGGAAAAGUAUAGUUUUCGAUAAAAAUACACCCGAUGUAUUCUAUUGCCCGCAAAGAAAGCCGACUGGUUUUGAUAAAAUGAUUGUUCAUUCACGUCCGUUGUCAAAAUUAUGCCAAUUCGAAGGAGGUCCCCUGCCUGCAGAUUAUAAAAGCGAUUGCUACAACGACGUUGACGAGACCGAAUAUGCGUGCAGAGAAAAAUACAGGAUAAUGAUAAGGAUGCAUCCUCCUGGCAGCGAGUCACCAUACAAUGGAACCCGACUAACUAAAUUCUUGGAUGUCGACAAGCGAGUCUACCUGAAAAAAAAUCAAGUUUAACUGCUGGAAGAUUAAUCUUUCGAUGAAGGCAUUGGGAAAUGAAACAUUGAAAUUUUGUGCCUGAUUGAUGCUGGUCGUUGAAAUGAUGGUCUUUCUUUUUCUUUUGGUUCUUCAUCUACUGUCGGACAUAAAGAAAAUCGGCAGCCUAUGAAGUAACUCCGUUUCGCAUGAAGAAGACAAGACUCAUCUGUGGAUCGAAAAAUUAGUUAUUAAUUACAUUCGUCAACGUACAUUAUGUUAUAGUUCAUUUAUUUAGGAACUUCUGUCGAUUUUGUUGUAACAUAUUUUGUACUGGACGGAAAAAAUAUUCUUCUGUGUGAAUAAAUGCAAAUAUACAUAA